rnacentral:rRNA from 1 species
AACUAACGCUGGCGGCGUGCCUAACACAUGCAAGUCGUACGAGAAAGUUGGCUUCGGCCGAUGAGUAAAGUGGCGCACGGGUGAGUAAUGCGUGGAUAAUCUGCCCUUUAGUUGGGAAUAACGUACCGAAAGGUGCGCUAAUACCUGAUAAUACUGCAUAACUACUGUUGUGUAGUCAAAGAAGGCCUCUGUUUACAAGCUUUUGCUGAAGGAUGAGUCCGCGUACCAUUAGCUGGUUGGUGGGGUAAUGGCCUACCAAGGCUACGAUGGUUAGCUGGUCUGAGAGGAUGAUCAGCCACACUGGAACUGAGACACGGUCCAGACUCCUACGGGAGGCAGCAGUGAGGAAUAUUGCGCAAUGGGGGCAACCCUGACGCAGCAACGCCGCGUGAGUGAGGAAGGUUUUCGGACCGUAAAGCUACUGUCGAGCGGGAAGAAAUGUAUCAUGGCUAAUAUCCAUGAUACUUGACGGUACCGCUAAAGG